rnacentral:tRNA from 1 species
UAGCUCAAUGGUAGAGCAGCGGCCUUUUAAGCCGUUGGCUGUGGGUUCGAGUCCC